rnacentral:lncRNA from 1 species
CGGAAGUCUGAGAUCAAGGUGCCGGCAGGACUGCUUCCUCCAAGCCCUCUCUUUUUGGCUUGUAAGAGCUGUCUUCUCUCUGUGUCCUCACAAGGUCGCCCUCCGUGCGUGUCUGUGUCCUCAUCUCCUCUUAUUACGGAGACACCAGUCCUACUGGAUUAGCUCCCAUGCUGGUGACCUCAUUCUACCUUAAUUACCUCCAUAAAUGCCCUAUCUCCAAACACAGUCACAUUAUGACAUCCUGGGGGUUGGACUUCGACGUGUGAGUUUGGGGGGAUGCAACCCAGCCCACAAUAAACAGCAAAUACGAUUAGAGCUUCUCACAGAUACAAAGCCAUUGUCGUGCAGCUCAUGCCCUCCUCGGGGGAAGAAGCCAGUAAGUCACAGAGAUCAGUAACGCAGGUGGGGACGAAGGUGUAGAGGAGAGCCAGGCACGGAGGCCUGUUGGAGUGCGGGUGCUUUGCAAUUUUAGAAGCCGAGGUCUAGGGGAGGCCGGACUUGAAAGACGACGUCUGGGCCAAGUGCAGAGAAAGGUGGCGGAUGAGCUGGAAGGAAGCCUGGGAGAAGGCACUUUGGGCGUAGGGUUUUGAGACACAGCUGUGUUUUGCCCGUGGCACGGGAGCUCUGGGGCCGGCAUGGCCCGUGUGGCCUAGGUGGAGGUGGGAGGGGAGGCGGGAGAAGGGGUGCCCUCGAGAUCUCGGGAGGCACUGGCCACGGAGAGCCCUCGGGCUGUUACUUCUACUAUUGCCUUUUACCAGUUAAAAGCAUCCUCCCAUGCAAAGGCUUGAGAAGGAUACAGUGGACUCUGGGGACUCGGUGGGGAAGGGUGGGAAGAGGGUGAGGGAUAAAUGACUACGAAUUAGGUGCAGUGGAUACUGCUCGGGUGAUGGGUGCGCCAAAAUCUCACAAAUCACCACCAAAGAACUUACGUAAUCAAACCCCACCUGUUCCCCAAAAACCAAUGGAAAUGAAUUUUAAAAACAAAAACAAAAAGCAUCUCCUCAACAUUGUGUUCGAAGAGAGGCAGCUGCCAGGACCUCGCUGUUCCUCACCCUCGGAAGCCGUGCCUCUUCUCUGGGCCCUUGGUCUGGCAUCCCCGGCCAGUGCAGCCCCUUCAACCGUGGGGUAGGUGGCGGGCGGAGGGGCCAGCCUGGCUGCCUGGCAUCCCCAUGGUUCCUGUAAUAAAUAACAAGCCUAACUGACAAAUUUGCUGUUUUCUUAUACGACUGCCACGCACACUACAAAGUGUGAGGCAAACCGCAAGUCAUCGGCAUCACAGCAAAACAAAAACACACACACAACAGAAGAAACCACGCUGGUGAGGUCAGCAGGGGACAGGGAGACCCUCCCUGCGGGAGCCGCUGCUAGAGGGAAA